rnacentral:lncRNA from 1 species
UUGUCUGCUCACGCCAAGGUUAAUUUGGCACCUCAGUCACAAAGAGCAUAUGCUUCCUGUGACAGACUUCCAGGGAGGCAGCUUCCCACAUGUGCUCCCCUGGUCUCCUCAUUGGUGUUCAGAAAGGAGAGGGUGGGUCCUCCAAAGGAGCCUGUGUGCCUAUGACAGAUGAGAUUUUUUUUUUUAAUGUGAGAAAACAAAACCUGAACAUUUGAUGCCCUGUUUUAAAAGGCGAAGACCUCUUUGGACCUGAAAUUUACAAGCAUCUAAUUCAUUAACUGUGAAUGUAGGGGGUGCUUAAAUGAAUUCUUGUUGACUGAUUGAUUGAAUACAGUCAUGACAUAAAUUCCACAAUCCCAAGGCAUACCCCUGGAAUGAGGACAUCACAUGGCUGCCAGGAGUUCAGAAUAGCAAGGGGACUUCAAAAGUCACACCUGGAAGUCCGAUCCUCUCUUCAACAUGCCCAAUACAUGGUCAACCAGCUUCCCCUCAAGGAGCUCAAGAUGAGGGAACUCACUACUUUCAGCUGUUCAUCUGUGGGGAGAAGGAAACAGCAAGCCACUCCAGUAUCUUUGCCAAGAAAACCUCAAAUUGGAUCAUAAAAUGUCAGACAACUGAAAUGAUGAAACAACAACAAUCAACUUGGCAACUGUGUGGAGGAUGGAAUAGUGAAGGGAAAAAUUGGAAUCUAGAAGACCAAGAAGACAACUGCUAUUGUAAGCCAGAAAAAAAAAAGGUAAUGAGGACCUCAAUUAGGAAAAGACAUGUGAAUUGGGAGAAGGGAAUGGAAUACAAAAGGCAGCUAUAUAUUUUUUAAGCACUACAAUAAAACAAAAAGAUAAUAAUUACA